UUAAAUUGAAGAGUUUGAUCAUGGCUCAGAUUGAACGCUGGCGGCAGGCCUAACACAUGCAAGUCGAACGGUAACAGGAAGCAGCUUGCUGCUUUGCUGACGAGUGGCGGACGGGUGAGUAAUGUCUGGGAAACUGCCUGAUGGAGGGGGAUAACUACUGGAAACGGUAGCUAAUACCGCAUAACGUCGCAAGACCAAAGAGGGGGACCUUCGGGCCUCUUGCCAUCGGAUGUGCCCAGAUGGGAUUAGCUAGUAGGUGGGGUAACGGCUCACCUAGGCGACGAUCCCUAGCUGGUCUGAGAGGAUGACCAGCCACACUGGAACUGAGACACGGUCCAGACUCCUACGGGAGGCAGCAGUGGGGAAUAUUGCACAAUGGGCGCAAGCCUGAUGCAGCCAUGCCGCGUGUAUGAAGAAGGCCUUCGGGUUGUAAAGUACUUUCAGCGGGGAGGAAGGGAGUAAAGUUAAUACCUUUGCUCAUUGACGUUACCCACAGAAGAAGCACCGGCUAACUCCGUGCCAGCAGCCGCGGUAAUACGGAGGGUGCAAGCGUUAAUCGGAAUUACUGGGCGUAAAGCGCACGCAGGCGGUUUGUUAAGUCAGAUGUGAAAUCCCCGGGCUCAACCUGGGAACUGCAUCUGAUACUGGCAAGCUUGAGUCUCGUAGAGGGGGGUAGAAUUCCAGGUGUAGCGGUGAAAUGCGUAGAGAUCUGGAGGAAUACCGGUGGCGAAGGCGGCCCCCUGGACGAAGACUGACGCUCAGGUGCGAAAGCGUGGGGAGCAAACAGGAUUAGAUACCCUGGUAGUCCACGCCGUAAACGAUGUCGACUUGGAGGUUGUGCCCUUGAGGCGUGGCUUCCGGAGCUAACGCGUUAAGUCGACCGCCUGGGGAGUACGGCCGCAAGGUUAAAACUCAAAUGAAUUGACGGGGGCCCGCACAAGCGGUGGAGCAUGUGGUUUAAUUCGAUGCAACGCGAAGAACCUUACCUGGUCUUGACAUCCACGGAAGUUUUCAGAGAUGAGAAUGUGCCUUCGGGAACCGUGAGACAGGUGCUGCAUGGCUGUCGUCAGCUCGUGUUGUGAAAUGUUGGGUUAAGUCCCGCAACGAGCGCAACCCUUAUCCUUUGUUGCCAGCGGUCCGGCCGGGAACUCAAAGGAGACUGCCAGUGAUAAACUGGAGGAAGGUGGGGAUGACGUCAAGUCAUCAUGGCCCUUACGACCAGGGCUACACACGUGCUACAAUGGCGCAUACAAAGAGAAGCGACCUCGCGAGAGCAAGCGGACCUCAUAAAGUGCGUCGUAGUCCGGAUUGGAGUCUGCAACUCGACUCCAUGAAGUCGGAAUCGCUAGUAAUCGUGGAUCAGAAUGCCACGGUGAAUACGUUCCCGGGCCUUGUACACACCGCCCGUCACACCAUGGGAGUGGGUUGCAAAAGAAGUAGGUAGCUUAACCUUCGGGAGGGCGCUUACCACUUUGUGAUUCAUGACUGGGGUGAAGUCGUAACAAGGUAACCGUAGGGGAACCUGCGGUUGGAUCACCUCCUUACCUUAAAGAAGC
rnacentral:rRNA from 1 species